CCUACGGGUGGCAGCAGUGGGGAAUAUUGCACAAUGGGGGGAACCCUGAUGCAGCGACGCCGCGUGGGUGAAGAAGUAUUUCGUCGUGUAAAGCUCUAUCAGCAGGGAAGAAAAUGACGGUACCUGACUAAGAAGCCCCGGCUAACUCCGUGCCAGCAGCCGCGGUAAUACGUAGGGGGCAAGCGUUAUCCGGAUUUACUGGGUGUAAAGGGGGCGUCGACGGCAGUGCAAGUCUGGAGUGAAAGGCUGGGGCUGAACCCCCGGACUGCCCUUGAAACUGUCAGGCUGGAGUACAGGAGAGGUAGGUGGAAUUCCUAGUGUAGCGGUGAAAUGCGUAGAGAUUAGGAGGAACACCAGUGGCGAAGGCGGCCUACUGGACUGUAACUGACGUUGAGGCCCGAAAGCGUGGGGAGCAAACAGGAUUAGAUACCCCUGUAGUC
rnacentral:rRNA from 1 species